rnacentral:lncRNA from 1 species
UCAUAUCCGGAACAAGGAUGCCUCUCAACCAGGAUCUCAAUCAAGAAUGUACCCUGCAUAUAGAUAAACAUGAGUUAGAUAUGGAUAAAUGCAAAAUGAAAAUGAUGUUGAUGCAUGAAUGCAAUGCAUAAUGCCAUCCUCUAAGUCAUCUGAACAUCCACUGUACUGGAUUCUGGUCUCUGAACUGAUCACAACCAUCUGAGGGAAUAAGCAGCCAUAAAUCCAACUCGGGGUUCCGAAAUAAACGGAACGGAAGGAUAUAUCACCAUCAUCACAGGAAAGCCACGGAUCUGAUAACAAUAAGAUCCUCUGAACAAGCAACCCCAAAUUCAAUCCAGGGAUCCGAAAUAAACGGAACCCGCUGAUAAAUACCACGGACAGAACUUCGGCGUCUCAAAAAUAAAUAUCCAUAAUCCAACUGAACCAGAGUCACCAUCAAAGAGUCACCAACAGAAUAUGUACUGUAAGAAUCAACCCUCCCCUCACAGGUGAAUUCUAUAAGGUCAUCCUAAAGCGGAUAAUGGUCUCGACAAUCGGACAAGAUACUCAACGGGUUUGCCCUUUCGGGUGUGCCGUUGUAGCUCUCAUAAGAUCAUCUAAACCAAAGAUUCGGGAAAGAAAGGUCACCGAAGUCAACAGCUCGAAAGAGAUAAACCCAACCAUAGUGGAAACUCCACAAGGAAGAGCUCUCUCAGAAGAACCUCGUCCGGCUGUGGUAUGUCACGUCGCAACAAUCAUGUUAACCUAACAUGUGAGGCAACAUGAGACCACGCUAAUCCUAGGUGUAUACUCGGGCCUGGGUUUUAGCCCCACUCAGAACACCCACCCCAAAUCAAAGGAACCAAACAUGUCCAGAAUCCAGCACAGUAAUAAUAUGAUGCAUGCAAACAUAUAUGCAAAUAUAUACAAUCACAGUAUAAUAAUCAUAAAUGCAAUAAAUAAAGCAGUAGAAGCAACAAAAACUACCCUAGAGAGCGCUAGGAUUGACUCGCUUAGGGAAGAUGGACCAGCAAUGGGUCAACUUCGGUCCCUAGCAGAGUCGCCAGCUGUCGUAACGCGAAUAACAACCGGCGGAAAAAAACAAUGUUUACAGAGCCGCCACCGACGCUAUUCAUCCUAUGACGGAAAGGAAGCGUAGGACUAACCUAAGAAAGGGAAAAGGAACGGUCUUACGACCAGAGAUUACAAGGUACGGGAGUCGGUUACGCAAGGGGAAGGUACUAGCACCCCUCACGUUCGUCGUACUCGACGGGAUCCACGCUCAAAAGAAUAGGAAAAGAUUGCUAAAUAACUGCUCAAAGAGAAUGCACACACACUGGAAUAAUAAAACAGGUGAAAGAAAAUGGAGGAAGUGGACUCGGCAGGAUGUCGCAUCCUGGGCCUACGUAGUUUGUCAGAAACAAACAUCAGAGUCAACGUAGUUCGGGGAAACGGGAAACAUGCUCGCUAGGACAUCGCAUCCUAUGCCUACGUAUCUUCUCUAUCCAGAGUAAGAAUCAGAGCACUCGUAGCUCGGCUAACGCACGCCGAAACAAAACACUAAAAAGAGACGCUGAGACGUCAAACGAAACACUCAACAGGAAACAGAAUGCCAAUAGAUGGACUUACACCCGACUUCAAACACACACACAAGGAAACAGAAUGCCAAACCUGGACUUACAUCCGACUCCAAACACUCAACACAAACAAGGAAACAGAAUGCCAAACAUGGACUUACAUCCGACUCCAAAUAAGCACACGCUAACCAGCGAACACCAUAGCAAAAGGUUAUCAGAUCAACAAGCUAAAAGGGAGUCUGGAACUCGAGCCUAAAAGUUGUCACACAAAACACACACAAAAAAGAAAAAGGGUGCCCGGAGAGAUCUCGCACGAUCUCCUGCCUACGUAUCUCAUCUGGUAUGAGAAUCAGGGCGACGUAGUUCCCCUUAACAGGGGAGAAACUCUCUCCUAACCAGAGACCAGGGAAGCAAGCAAACUAAAAGGGAGACUAACACUCGAGCCUAAAAGUUGUCAUGCAACCGAUAUCUCUAGGUUGAGGUCUCUAAUCAGAACCUAACUCGCACAGGAAGCAAGUCAGCUCAAACAACAGAUAAACAUGUAUGAACAGCAAACACACAAGCAAUCAUCACACUCUAUAUACAAACAAGAGGCUCAGACAAAUGGUUGGGCUUUAGUCAAGAGGGGUCAUAUCAACCUCGACAAACAAGCCAAAACUGUAGGGGUAUGCUGAAGCUCUUAACCACUAACAUUGAGAGUUAGGGUGAAGCUGAUGAAAGGUAAUGAGGAUAAGACCUCAUGCUCUUAACCCUGGCCUGGGUGAGCUCAAAUCAAAGAAAGUGUGGGGAUCCAGAAAGAGGGACCCUAUUCCACUUGACUGACUCUAUACAAGAUCUUGGGUUAUGUUCAAGAGCAUCAGCAUGUAGUGCGAGCAUAAUGAACGACUCAUAGAAUAACAGGGGAUUGAUUGCUAAUCCCUUCUAUCUGUCAAUUUCCUCUUCACUUAGGAGGACUUAUCAAGUAACAUGCCUCACUUGGAGGUCUUUAGCACAAAAUGUAAACAAUCACAAACAUUGCCUCUUAAGGAGGACUUCAGCCAAAUGCCUGCCAAAAAAGCGACAGGGCUUCCAGACUACAUGGAGUGAGAAGGCUAAACAACCUCAGUGGUGUAUCAAUCACACUCCAAAGCAAAGCAAAAGCUAGCUAGCAAGCGACUAAUGUUCCUGUACAAAAGCUAAAUAGUUAAUAUUGUAUUCAGAAAACCAAACAGACAACACAGUGGAACCAAUCCAACUGUACACAAUGCAAGUCAUAAGUGC